rnacentral:rRNA from 1 species
AUUGAACGCUGGCGGCAGGCCUAACACAUGCAAGUCGCACGAGUGGCGGACGGGUGAGUAAUGUCUGGGAAACUGCCUGAUGGAGGGGGAUAACUACUGGAAACGGUAGCUAAUACCGCAUACCAUCAGAUGUGCCCAGAUGGGAUUAGCUAGUGGGGGGGGUAACGGCUCACCAAGGCGACGAUCCCUAGCUGGUCUGAGAGGAUGACCAGCCACACUGGAACUGAGACAAGGUCCAGACUCCUAAGGGAGGCAGCAGUGGGGAAUAUUGCACAAUGGGCGAAAGCCUGAGGCAGCAAUGCCGAGUGUAUGAAGAAGGCCUUCGGGUUGUAAAGUACUUUCAGCGGGGAGGCGUUACCCGCAGAAGAAGCACCGGCUAACUCCGUGCCAGCAGCCGCGGUAAUUC